rnacentral:tRNA from 1 species
GCGGGCGUGGCGAAACCGGUACACGCGCAGGAUUGAGGAUCCUGGCUCUUUUGAGCUUGUGGGUUCGAUUCCCACCGCCCGCA